rnacentral:lncRNA from 1 species
GAAAAAUGAUAGUCAAAUAAACACAGGAAAGUCAACUUCAUUAGUCAGGAGAAACGCAACUGCAACUCACAAUGAGAUACCAUGCAAACAUUCCAGGACGGUAGUGAUUAAAAAAUCUGCACUUCACAAUAUUGUUGAUGCUAUGGAAAAUUGGACCCGAACUGCUAAAGACUUGGUGCUUGUGUGAGUGUGAAGCAGACAACCUCUUUGGAAAAGUGUACCAUGAUUAUAGUUUAUAACAUGUUUAUGCUAUCAUCAUCAAUUGCACUUCCAGGGAUUUACCUUACAGAAAUGCAUGCUUAUGUGCUUUAGAAUGGUGGUGAAUAUUGCUCAGAGAAGCAUAUUCACAACAGCCAAACACUGUAAAUAAUACAAAUGUCUACUAGAAGAAGAAUAGAUAAAUAUGUUUUAUACAUUGCUAUAGCAAAGAAAUGGAUGAGUUAUUGCACAUGCAUUAGCAUGGAUAAAUUCCAGAAACAAUACUGAGCAGAAGAUUAAAACCAAAGGAAUACAUUCCAUGAUUCCAUAUAGUCUUGGAUUACAUUAUUACAGUGGUAAAAUUGUGAAGCAAAGCACUUUAAAAGUCAGGAAAUGGUUACCUUACAGAAUAAGUGGAAUGCAUUUGGGUUCUGAAGGCCACUGGCAAUAUUCUAUUUCUUGAGUAGGACAAAAUACCUGGAGUUUAACAUAUUACUAUUACAUGUUACAAUAGUUUUCUAAACUGUACAUUUAUGUUUUCCACUUUCUUUAAAGCAUUUGGCCAUAUUUCAGAGAAAAAUUACUAAUAAAUAUUAAUAUCAAAUAUAAUUUUCAACAAUUGCUUUUUAAAAAUAUUUAAUUGAUUUUUAUUUUUUAAAUACAUGACAGUGGAAUGCAUUGCAAUUCUUAUUACAUAUACAGAGCACAAUUUUUCAUAUCUCUGUAUAUAAAGUAUGUUCACACCAAUUCAUGUCUUAAUACAUGUACUUUGGAUAAUGAUGUCUAUCACAUUCCACCAUCAUUGCUAACCCC